rnacentral:rRNA from 1 species
GACGAACGCUGGCGGCGUGCUUAACACAUGCAAGUCGAACGGAAAGGCCCUGCGUUUGUGGGGUGCUCGAGUGGCGAACGGGUGAGUAACACGUGAGUAACCUGCCCUUGACUUUGGGAUAACUUCAGGAAACUGGGGCUAAUACCGGAUAGGAUCUCCUGCUGCAUGGGGUGGGUUGGAAAGUGUCGGCGGUUGGGGAUGGACUCGCGGCUUAUCAGCUUGUUGGUGUGGUAGUGGCUUACCAAGGCUUUGACGGGUAGCCGGCCUGGGAGGGUUACCGGCCACAUUGGGACUGAGAUACGGCCCAGACUCCUACGGGAGGCAGCAGUGGGGAAUAUUGCACAAUGGGCGGAAGCCUGAUGCAGAAACGCCGCGUGCGGGAUGACGGCCUUCGGGUUGUAAACCGCUUUCGCCUGUGACGAAGCGUGAGUGACGGUAAUGGGUAAAGAAGCACCGGCUAACUACGUG